UGCCAAGGUGGCAGAUUUUAUGUGUUAGAUUUAGGAUCUAAAGAAGAGUUAUACUCUUUUGGUAA
rnacentral:tRNA from 1 species